rnacentral:lncRNA from 1 species
AUGUUUCCUUCUCUUUAUUUCAGUUUUGUUCCUCAGUCGUCAGAUCGUUAUGAAGAAACCAAGUUCUUUGGGAAUCUGUUCUGUGCAGCAGCAGAGAGAGAACAGCAGACGGGAGAGAAGAUACUGGAGCUGUUAUCAUCAGUGUGCAGCUAUAAAACAUUCCCUCUUAAAGAGAAAUGGUGGGAUUUCCUGCUGGACCUUUACUCUUAUUAUUGUGAAACAGGCUUGAGUGUCCUUCCAUCAUUACAGUCAGUUCUCCAGUCAGCUCCUGCAGUCUGGUCCAUAAACCUCUCAGAGAGAAAGCCCUCCAUCCUCCUGGAAGUGCUGAAACUCCAAUCAGAGAAGAAACCAGUGGAGCUGACAGGCUGCUCAUAUGAAGAGAGUGAAGUGAGGAGUUUCCUACAGUGUCUGCCUUAUAUCUCACAGCUCAGUGUCUGUUACUGGUUAAAAGGUGAAGCCAAGUUCUUUGGGAAUCUGUUCUGUGCAGCAGCAGAGAGAGAACAGCAGACAGGAGAGAAGAUACUGGAGCUGUUAUCAUCAGUGUGCAGAUAUAAAACAUUCCCUCUUAAUGACAGAUACAUGGAUUAUGAUGCCAAUAAACAUCAGUGUGAUGUCCUGCUGGAUCUGUACUCCCACCUGAAGGACUAUGAGACUAAAACAGGCUUGAGUGUCCUUCCAUCAUUACAGUCAGUUCUCCAGUCAGCUCCUGCAGUCUGGUUCAUAAACCUCUCGGAGAGAAAGACCUCCAUCCUCCUGGAAGUGCUGAAACUCCAAUCAGAGAAGAAACAAGUGAAGCUGACAGGCUGCUCACAUGAAGAGAGUGAAGUGAGGAGUUUCCUACAGUGUCUGCCUUAUAUCUCACAGCUCAGUGUCUGUUACUCGUUUGAAGGUGAAGCCAAGUUCUUUGGGAAUCUGUUCUGUGCAGCAGCAGAGAGAGAACAGCAGACAGGAGAGAAGAUACUGGAGCUGUUAUCAUCAGUGUGCAGAUAUAAAACAUUCCCUCUUAAUGAAGAGGAUGAUGAUGUUGAGGAAUAUCAGUGUGAUUUCCUGCUGGAUCUUUACUCCCACCUAAAGGACUAUGAGACUAAAACAGGCUUGAGUGUCCUUCCAUCAUUACAGUCAGUUCUCCAGUCAGCUCCUGCAGUCUGGUUCAUAAACCUCUCAGAGAGAAAGCCCUCCAUCCUCCUGGAAGUGCUGAAACUCCAAUCAGAGAAGAAACAAGUGAAGCUGACAGGCUGCUCACAUGAAGAGACUGAAGUGAGGAGUUUCCUACAGUGUCUGCCUUAUAUCUCACAGUUCAGUGUCUGUUACUGGUUUGAAGGUGAAGCCAAGUUCUUUGGGAAUCUGUUCUGUGCAGCAGCAGAGAGAGAACAGCAGACAGGAGAGAAGAUACUGGAGCUGUUAUCAUCAGUGUGCAGAUAUCAAACAUUCCCUCUUAAUGAAUGGGAUUAUGAUUAUGAGGAAUAUCAGCGUGAUUUCCUGUUUGAUCUUUACUCUCACCUGAAGGACUAUGAAACUAAAACAGGAUUGAGUGUCCUUCCAUCAUUACCGUCAGUUCUCCAGUCAGCUCCUGCAGUCUGGUCCAUAAACCUCUCAGAGAGAAAGCCCUCCAUCCUCCUGGAAGUGCUGAAACUCCAAUCAGAGAAGAAUCAAGUGGAGCUGACAGGCUGCUCACAUGAAGAGAGUGAAGUGAGGAGUUUCCUACAGUGUCUGCCUUAUAUCUCACAGCUCAGUGUCUGUUACUGGUUUGAAGGUGAAGCCAAGUUCUUUGGGAAUCUGUUCUGUGCAGCAGCAGAGAGAGAACAGCAGACAGGAGAGAAGAUACUGGAGCUGUUAUCAUCAGUGUGCAGAUAUAAAACAUUCCCUUUUAAUGACAGAAACAUGUAUUAUCAUGUUGAGCAAUAUCAGUGUGAUUUCCUGUUGGAUCUUUACUCUCACCUGAAGGACUAUGAGACUAAAACAGGGUUGAGUGUCCUUCCAUCAUUACAGUCAGUUCUCCAGUCAGCUCCUGCAGUCUGGUUCAUAAACCUCUCAGAGAGAAAGACCUCCAUCCUCCUGGAAGUGCUGAAACUCCAAUCAGAGAAGAAACAAGUGGAGCUGACAGGCUGCUCACAUGAAGAGAGUGAAGUGAGGAGUUUCCUACAGUGUCUGCCUUAUAUCUCACAGCUCAGCUGUGAUCCAGAGUUCUUCCAGAGUGUGUGUACGUUGAUCUCUGUAAGAUCCAGAGAGGAUGAGGAGCAGUUGUCCUCUCUGCUGCAGCUCCUGGGGUACACCCUGCAGUUAACAGGAGAGUUACACACAGGAACCUGCAGGUCUGUGGGCAGAGUUCUCAGACUCUGUGGAUCUGAUGUGGAUCUCAUCCUCAAACCCAGAAAGAUGUCUGUCAGAGGAGCCUCCCUCCUCUUCAGACAUACAACACAACUACACAGUCUGAGCCUCUCCAGUGACAUGGCCUUGCUACUGUUUCAGUGGGUAAGAAGAGGGCGAGCAGCAGGUCUGUUAGCUAUUGAAGAGCUUUCUCUCACCCCUCAGACAGUCCAACCAUCAGAAAGAGUGUUGUUGAAGGUUGUCAGUAGUUUGGCCUCCCUGCUGAGAUACUGGAGCGUCAGACAGUUAGACCUGACUGAGUUCUACGUCCCUGCUCAGGGUCUCAUUCCACUGCUGCUCCACCAUGGUCCUCUAACAAUCAAACUGAGGGAGAAGAUUUCCCUGCAGCUACUCUCCCUGAUCCAUGAAAUCCAGGACAAGGACUUGACCCAGUUGUUCUUGAGUAAGGUUGGUGGAGACCUGAGCUCCUGCUGUCUGAACUGGGAGCUUCUUCACUGUCUGCUGCAGCAGUCUUUAGAUCAGAUCAUCACUGUGAACCUGAGGAAGAACCGCUUCUUACAGGAAAACGUCACACGUCUGCUUCCCUUUCUGGACAAGAUUGUAGUUAAAAGGCCCUGUCCCAGGUUUGUGUUGACUGCCAUCAGAGAGAUCUAUAAAGCUUGUGCCAGUCCCAUUAUACCCAGUUUACUGAGGUCACUGGAUCAUGUGAUCAACCUGACCUGCAGAGAGAUGGACUCGGUGGACUGUGCUGCUCUGCUCUUCACCCUCAAACACAGUGACAGAGUUAAACUGAACCUUGUGUUUACCUCCAUACCAACAGGACAAAUAGAGUCCAUCCUGUUUACACUGGACAAAGUUUCUCAACUCAGUGUUGACAGGAAUCUCUUGCUGAGGUUCAUCCACUGUUGUGCUGCCUCUGACGCCCAGCAGGGGGCAGCAGUCGGCCUGCUCAGGGCUUUGCAGCACAGGCUGGAUCUGUCCUGCUCCUCCUGUGUGGAUCUGCCAGAGGAAGGUCAGAGUGAGACUCUUAGUCUGACUGCUGAGGACUGCAGGGCCGUCUCCACCAUCCUGAGACGCAGCAGCAGCAAGGACACACAGCUCAACCUGCAGGACUGUGAGCUGGAGGACAGCAGACUGGACCUGCUGUUUCCUGUCCUCGACAGAGUCCGCCUCAGAGCCAGUAAAGCUCUCCUCCUCCAGCUGCUGUCUCUGGUUCCUAUGAAAACUGAGAGGGACACAGUGAGACGGGCAGUGUCCCUGUGUAGAGCCCUGGGUGGAGAGCUGGACCUCAGUCACACCACACUGGAUCAGAGGGCCUGUGAAGCUUUGGCCCAGAUGCUGGACUUCUCUGAAGGGCUGACUGAUCUGGACCUCAGUCACUGUGAGCUCACUGACCAGCUGCUGUUCACACUCAUCACACAUCUGCACAAAGUACAAGUCUUAGAUCUGAGUCACAAUAAGAUUACUGAUGCUGCAGCUCACAUGUUACUCCAACUGGUCUCCAUCAACCCCUCCAUCGACACUGUGCGACUCUUCAGCAACAACAUUGUGAACAGAAAUCCCUUUAAGAAACACCAGCAGUUUGAAAUAUGGUGA